UGGCGUUUAUUUUCAACUGGAUUGGAUUUUGUUUAUCCUUCUGUAUAACAAAUACCAUAGCUGGAAGGUAUGGUGCAAUCUGUGGAUUUGGUCUGUCCCUGAUCAAAUGGAUUCUCAUUGUACGGUUUUCAGAUUACUUUACUGGAUAUUUCAACGGACAGUACUGGCUUUGGUGGAUAUUUCUUGUACUUGGACUCCUCCUGUUCUUCCGAGGCUUUGUUAAUUAUCUUAAAGUCAGAAAUAUGUCUGAAAGCAUGGCAGCUGCUCACAGAACAAGAUUUUUUUUCUUGUACUGAAGACUGCAUCGAACAGACAUUCCUUUCCUAUACCAGUGUGAAACUUCCAGAUGAUCUGUAGCUCUCCGAGGUAAUAGGAUAGAAGACUACUAAAACCAGAAGAUAAAUUAGUGAAGAUACGGCUUCAAAAACGAAUGACAGGAUGGUCUGUGUUCAAAUACCAGUUCUGGUCAUUCUAGUAAAUACUUAUAAUUGCUGCCUUUUGUUUCAGCACAUAUGUAUAUGUGCUUAUUAAAAAGAUAGUACUGAAGUAAGAACAAACC